AUAGCUGGUUAUUCAGGUUUCGUUGGAAGAAAUACGCUCUCGUCCCCCUGAAAGGCCCAGUCCAGUCAGGUGAUGGACUCCUCCCUGAAACUGCACAAGGUCACCUCUCCUAUCCCCGUAUUCCGUUUGGAUCCUUAUGCCAACGUGUUAGGAAGGCCCCCUCUGGUGGGUUUUGUACUGUCUCUAGCAUUUGACACUUAAUAUUUAAACACCACCAAUAAGGUGGACGUCCUACUCACGGGACUGAGUUUCCGAACGGGCCAGAGAGCAGCACGUGAGCAUUUUGCAGAUGCACAAAGCAGGGUCAUCAGAAGCCUCUCGAUUCAAAAGAUGAUAAUACCGAAAAACACUGCCCAGUGACAGUGAAUCCUUGGCAUAUGAAGAAAGCUUUCAAAGUCAUGAACGAAUUAAGAAGUCAAAAUUUGCUGUGCGAUGUCACAAUUGUGGCAGAAGACAUGGAAAUUUCUGCUCAUAGAGUGGUGCUGGCCGCCUGUAGUCCUUAUUUUCAUGCCAUGUUUACAGGUGAGAUGAGUGAGAGCCGAGCAAAGAGAGUUAGAAUAAAAGAGGUAGAUGGCUGGACCCUGAGGAUGCUAAUUGAUUACGUUUACACUGCAGAAAUUCAGGUUACAGAAGAAAAUGUACAGCUAAAGAAACGGGCUCAGAGAAUGUUAUUUGAUUGGACCGUGUUGCAUCUCUGGACAGUGCAGCUGAGAUCAGACUUUGUGUGUAACUCCACUAGCCUACCAGGGUGCCUCUCAUAAAGCUACCCUUCUUCAGCUGGCAACACACAGGACCUGGCGGGGAGAUCGCUCUUACCAGUUCCCCACUCUGACGAGAAGACUGCCCAGCUCCAGGAACCGUAGCGCCCCAGUGACGUAGCCAAACACCCGCGCCUCUGACAUCGCCAGAGGCCCACCUCUAUGGUGUCGGCGAAGGCGCGCUCUUGUGGCGUCACGGAAGGCGCGCUCCUGUGACGUCACGGGAUGCGCGCUCCUGUGACGUCAAGGGAGGCGCGCUCUUGUGGCGUCACGGAAGGCGCGCGCUUGUGAGGUCGCAGGGGACUGCCACUCACGCGGAGCCAAUCGGAACUCGCGGCGGGGCUGCUGGGUCUUCCAGGAGCGCGCAUGAGCGGACGCUGCCUACCGGUGGCCGGGCGGGAUGUAACCGGCUGCUGAGCUGGCAGUUCUGUGUCGCUAGGCUUCGGCCCGGCCGCCGCCGCACAUAAGCUGCGAGGAGGAGCUUUACGACUUCCCGGUCUUCCGGGCCGGGCGCAGCAAGGGCCAGAUUCUGCGCUAGCAGGCGCGCCAACCGGCCGGCACCUGUCGCAGAAGGUGCAACCGAUCGCACUGUCGUGCAGAAGCUCCUCAAUGGCCGGCGCCAGCUGCAGCCCCGGCUGCCCACUCGCCUCACCUGAGCCUGGGCGAAUCUGGAUUGGGAAAGUUGACAUUAAUCAACUCAUUAUUCCUCCCAGAGUUGUAUUCUCCAGAGUAUCCGGGUCCUUCUCAGAGAAUUAAAAAGCCUGUACAGGUCUAGAUAUUGGUAUUUUUAAUUGAUGAUAAGCUGGAAUAAUAUUAAUACACACAAAGCACGUGUUGUAACUUUUAUUAUGCUUCCUUAGAGGUAAGAUGCAAAUUUGCCCUUAGCCAGUGUAAGAUGGUAAAUAUGACUUCAUAAAAUUAAAAAAACAGAAGAAGUACAGUUAAUCGAAUUAUCUUGACUAGAACUUUCCAAAUUUGUCCUAAGGAUUCUCCUAGAGAUGACACUGUGACAUAGUAACCAAUUCCCCUGGAGUUGUGCUAUGUAGUAUGAUAGUCAUUUGCCACAUGUUUAAAUCAAUUAAAAUUAAUUAAAUUAAAAUGCAAUUUCUCAUUUGCUCCAGAUAUAUUUCAAGUGCUCAACAGCCAUAUGUGGCAAGUGGCUGCCAUUUUGUGCAGCACAUAUAUGAAGAUUUUCAUCAUUGUAGAAAAUUGCACUGGACAGUGGAGAGAAAACAUGAUUCAUAGAAAAACUAUUGUUAUUUAAAUACAGUGUUCUAUAUUAGUCAGUGGGAUAAUACCAUAUCAUAGUUGAAUGGCAAUAGCAAUUCUGUAAGACUUCCAAGCUAUAUGUGAUCUAAUUUACUGCUUCUCAGUCUUUGCUAUGCAUUCCAAUCCUGGGUAUCCUGUUAAAUUUAUUUCUUCUAGUAGUUCUGAGAUGGGCUGCCUUUCUACAUUUCUAACAAGAUCCCAGGUGAUGCUGAUGCUGCUGGAUGGUAGAUCACACUUUAUAAAGCAAGGGGCUAGACUCUAGAUAUGCACUUUUUAUUAAAUAGUACAGCAGCCUGUAGCCACAUGUGGCUAUUAAUCUUUGAAAUGUGGGUAGUCUGAAUUGUGAUGUUCUGCAAAUAUAAAAUAUGCCACAGAUUUCUAAGACUGAGCAUGGAAAAGAAAAUCUCCGUAAUUUUUUAUAUUGAUUGUAUACUGCAGUGAUAAUAUUUUGGAUGUAUUGGGUUAAAUAAAAUUGACGGAUUUCACCUUUUUCCUAUUUUAAAAGUGGCUACUAAGAAAAUUUUAAAUUACUUACAUGACCGACAUGGUAUUUUUAUUUGGCAGCGCUGCUCUAAGCUGUUGAUGAAAAAUAUUGUUGGUGAGCUCUGCUUAGGUAAUAUAUAGGACACGAGCAGAGAGGAGGCACGUGAACAGUUCUGGCUGGAGCAGGCUUCAUUGAGGCCGUGAUGCUUUUAGCUGGAUUUGAAGAAGUGGUAGUGAUCAUCCCAGUGCACAGGAUAGGAGGACAGUCUAUAUAUUCUGAGCAGUAACUCAUAUAUAUCAUACUGCAAGACCCCAAAGGAGUAAUUUUGUGAAGUAAAUACUUAUUUCUCCUUUUUAAUGUUUCUAUUUUAGGAUUUUUUUUUUUUUUUUUUUUUUUAGUAACCUUCAUAGGGCUUGAGAUUUAAAAUUACCUGCAAAAUUCUACUCUAAAAACUUGAUCCUACAUGCUUAUUUAUUUUGUGAUAAAUAUUGGAAAUUUUAAACCUAAGCAAGAAAAUGAACUUUGAACUUUCUUAAUUUGGGUAUCUAUUAUGAAUACCUUCACUUAAGUAUUUAUGAAUUUAGAUAUGAAAGGUAAAACUAACCACUGUCCAAAUUAAUAUACAGUUCAUUUCCAGAACCCUAGUUUCUUCCAUGUGCUCACUCGCAUUCAGUAUUACAACCCCCAAAGAUAAACACCUUACCGACUGCCUUCUCCAUAAAUUUGCCUGUUCUUGAACAUUAUAUACGUAUACUUUUUUGUAUCUGUUUUCUUUCAGUGAAGAUUAUGUCUGUAUUAUUUACUCAUGUUGGGUGUAGUUGUUUUUUUCAUCGUCGUAUAAUACUCCAUUGUGUGAAUGUAUCAGUAUAUCCUUUAUUAUUUAUUGUAGAUAAGCCUUUGGGUUUUCAGUUUUUUACUAACGGGAACAUUCUUGUGCAUGUCUUAGUAGACUUAGGCACUCGUUGCUGUUGUGUGUGCAUAAAGAUAUAAAGGUAUUUGAGUUUAUUUUAUUUGAUUUCUAGUGAGGUUGAACGUGUCUUUUGUACUCAAUAACUUCAGAUUUCAUUAAAGUGUUUUGGUAAUCUUAAUAUUUUCUGUCAUUUUCUUGCUGAUUUAUAGGAGUUUGAAAAAUCACAUUUGAGAAGAGGAUUGGAUCCUAGCCAUAACAUAAAUAUAAGGGUGGAACCAAAGUUUUAAUCAAAGAAGGUGGUGUUCAGUUGCUGCUUACAAUAGUUGAUACCCCAGGAUUUGGAGAUGCAGUGGAUAAUGGUAAUUGCUGGCAGCCUGUUAUCAAUUACAUUGAUAGUAAAUUUGAGGACUACCUAAAUGCAGAAUCGCGAGUGAACAGAUGUCAGAUGCCUGGUAACGGGGUGCAGUGUUGUUUAUACUUCAUUGCUUCUUCAGGACAUGGACCAUUACAUAACUGAAGACUCCCACCUUCAGGCAGGAUUGGGUAGUACGUGUUUGUAACCACCUGGCAUUGCCUUUUGUUGAGCCACCAGCAGAAAGGAGAGAUGAGUAAGAAUGUUCUUAUUGGCACAAGGAAUGUUUGUCCCUAGAAUGGCACAGCUUAAGACAGAACCAGGAAAUCACAGAUUUACCACAUUGAUCAGAAGCAGGAGAAGGCUUGAUUGGAAAGGCCCAUUGGUGUUGCUGAUCAACAAUCUAGAAAGCCCUUAGAGGACAGGCAUAGUUAACCUCAGAAAACUCUGUGACAUUAGCUAGUGUGCUUUGUGGAGAGAGUCAGGUUAGAUCUUGGGACAGCCCACAUACCUAGACAAACUUAGGCUUUCCAGCUUGCACUGGACCAGGGUGGAAAGGAAGGGUAGAUGUCUACCCAAAUGGAAUAUUGAGUAUCAGAGACUUCAAAUGAUAACUUUUGUUUGUUUGGAGAAAAUCUUGAGGACGUGAUCACUGUACAAAAGCAUGGCAAAAUGAGGAAACCACUGACAGGUGAAGAAUUUGCACAAUGGAAAACCACCUUGACCAUCUCAUGACUUUAUACAGGAAUCGGAGACAUCCAAGGCCAUUCCAUUUCUAGAUCACACUUAUCCCUCAAUCAAGUCAGUGACUGGAUCAUCUCCUAAGGUUUCACCUGCUUUGCAUCAGGGCAGGGUUCCACUCCCAUUGCCCAGGCUGGAGUGCAGUGGCGUGAUCUUGGCUCACUGCAACCCCCUCCUCCCCUAUUCAAGCAAUUCUCCUGCCUCAGUCUUCUAAGUGGCUGGAACUGCAAGCGCGUGCCACCACACCCGCGCUUGUAAUAGAAAAUAAUUUUUCUAUUUUUUUGUAGGGAUGGGGUUUCACCAUGUUGGCCAGGCUGGCCUCGAACUCCUGAGCUCAAGUGAUCAACCUGCCUCUGCCUCCCAAAGUGCUGGGAUUACAGGUGUAAGCCACCAUGCCUGGCCUCUGAUUUUUCUAUAGUGAGAACAUAACUACUUCUGUAAUAAUAUUAAAAAUACUUGUCAGUAUCACAUAGAAUUUUCAACAGCAGAUUCAAAUAAAAUGAAUCCUUGUAUAUAUAUAUAUAAAUGUAGAAGGAUGACAUCUAUAAUAGGUGAUUACUAUGUUGACUGUAUUUACAGGGAUGGAGAAAACUCAAAAGAGCCAUUAGUAUUUUUAAUGGAGAAACUCUUAAUCAAUAAGGAAAGCAACUGUUACGGAAAGAAUGAGAUGUCCAAGUGUUUGAAACAAUGCUCUGAACACACUUCAUACUUCUGAGGAAGAGCUUUGAACAAAGGAGUAAACAAGUAGAAUGCUGAGAAAAAUAGGGAGACGACAGUGGCACAUGACACCUAGUUUUUUUUUUUUUUCUGCAUGGUUCUUUUGGUAUCUCUCCUUCCUUUCCCUGUCAGCCACAGUUCUUUAUAUUAAAUUCUUUUGAUGGCGAGAAUCCUGGAGUAGGAGUGAGAACUGGACUGUAGAUGCACCUCUCCCACUAACCACCUGUUUGGGGCAAAUAGUCUGUCUCGUUGGGAGAUGAACUUUACAAGAUCAAUUACUAAAUCUGAAAUAUCUGGAUUAGAAUAUUUCUAGAUUUUUUUUCUGCUCUUGACAUUCUAUGAUAACUCCAUGACAAAUGUUCUUUUUCCAAAUAAUUAAAACUUAAAACAGUUCCCUGUUUAAACCUUCAAAGACAAAGACAACUUCUUCUUUCUGCAUUUGAGUCGUAAACAUCUAAACUAAUAAAUUAGAUGUUUUAGGGAGAAUCUAUUGCCUACAAUAACCACCCCCCCUCCAAAAGCCAAGCCAGCAGAUACGUGGAAAUGGGAACCUGCAAUAUUCUACCUCCCUCCUUUUAAUCUCAGAAGAAUUUUUAUAACUAGAGUAAAGCCACAUUAUGACAAUGAGAAAAAGUUGGAUUACUUUUCUUUAUUUAGGCUAAAAUUUAGACUUAAAAAAAGAAUAUGCUAAUGCAUAGUAUAUACAGUAUUGCUCCUUGAGGGUAACACUGGCACAUAAUUCUUCUUAGCAUCCCCAAAUCAAUUUGUUGGAGAUUAGCACAUAGUAGGCACUCAAUAGAUAUUAGUAUGUGUUCCUUGUUCAAUACAAACAUGUUCAUCAGUAAAAGAAACCAUACUGCUAAUAAUUUUAUUUCUUGAUUUAGAAGCAAAAAAUAGGCGCCUAAUAUUAAUCUCUUCAAUUUACUUUAGGUUCUAAUUCACAACAGUCCAAGUUUAGCAAGUCUAGUAGUUUUCAUAUAAAUACCUCAUACAGUUGCAAGCAGAUGGCAUCUAUGAACCCAACUUGCAUACUUGGGAUUUUGUUUUUCUUCUCCCUGUUCAUUAGAUCCUGAAAAUACAAAUACAGACCAGACACACAGAUGUGCAUUUAUUUAUUUAGUUAGUUAUUAUUUUAUUUUUUGAGAUGGAGUCUCACUCUGUUGUCCAGGCUGGAGUGCAGUGGCACCAUCUCAGCUCACUGCAACCUCCACCUCCCAAGUUUAAGCUAUUCUCCUGCCUCAGCCUCCCUAGUCAGGUGUGCAGUACCACGCCUGGCUGAUUUUUUAUUUUUAGUAGAGACAGGGUUUCACCAUGUUGGCCAGGCUGGUCUAGAACUCCUGACCUCAAGGGAUCUGACUGCCUUGGCCUCCCAAAGUGCUGGCAUCACAGGCAUGAGCCAUUGUGUGCAUUUAUUUAAAGAACACAAUGAAAGCUGGCUCUAGAAAGGUGAAUCAGUGGGUUAGCCUAGGAAGGUCAGACAGCAACUAAUACAAAAAGAAAAAAAGAGGAAAACUCUAUGUUUUAUUUCAAGGAAACUCAUUCCAAAAAACAGAAGUGGGCUGAGAGGAAUCUUUACUUGUAUCUGAGAUCCAUACUCUGUAAAAAGGCAGUAUGUAUCAAAGACCUUUAAAUUCUGUUUGCCCUUCAACACGACAACUUUGGGAAUUUAUGCUAACAAGAUAAUGAAGAAUGAGGUUUGGCAGUUUAUCUAUUCCCUUGGUGUAAUGUUUGCAGUGUUCACUAUUACAAACAGCACUGUGAUAAACAUCUAUGAUAGAUGAAACACUGCUCUGAACACACUUCUGAGGAGAACUUUGAACAAAGGAGUAAACAAGUAGAAUGCUGAGAAAACUGGGGAGACUGUGGUGGUGGCAUGACAUCUGGUCAUCUUUCCUCCAUGUUUCUUUUGGUAUCUCUCCUUUCUUUCUCUGUCAGCCACAGCUUCUCUAUUAAAUUCUUUUGAUGGCGAGAACCAAGGAGUAGGAGUGAAACAUCUAUGAUGGAUGUUUAUCACAGUGCUGUUUGUAAUAGUGAACACUGCAAACAUUACACCAAGGGAAGUAGGUAAAUUAUGGUUACAUCUAUUUCAUGUAAUCAUGAUAAUACAUAAGAAUAUUUGUUAAAAUGAAAAGUGGUUUGUAAUACUUAAGCGGAAAAAAACAAAUUACAAAGAACACUGAUACAAUAUGAUGAACCCAAGAGUCUUUAUUAUGCCUUUUAUUGGUUUUGCUUUCUGUAAUGAACAUGUAUAAUUCUUCCAAUGAGAAAAAAGUUUUAAAAAAUAAAAUGAGAAAUUGUGGUCCUAAGGAAAGAUCCCAUAGAGCCAUAAAAAGGAGUCUACAAUUAAAAAAAAACAAUUUGAAUAAUUCCUACCAACAAGGUUUCAUACUUACAGUGGGUUCUAUGUUGAGUUCUUUUCUCUCUCUGUCUCCUUGAUCAAAAAAUUCAGUUGCUACAAGUUCUGCUAUCUGAAAUAAAUAACAGACUCAGUUUUGACAAUGAAAAGCAUAUCAUUCUUUAAAACAGAGACUGUGAAUGAAGGCCCUGUUAGGAGCUGUAUAUCUCCAUUUUAUAGCAAAUAAGCAGCAGCUUGAUACCCGAAGACAAGUAGUCCAUGUCCAAAGCGUGCUCUCUUGACUAUUACAUUAUACUCUUUUUCACUUAGGUACAUCUCUCUGUCUUUGGUAGCUUCCAACAUUUUUCCCUUUCAAUUUUAUUUAAAAAUGUUUUCUUCCUUCAUUUAUUUUCCCCCCAUAAAACAGUAUGUACAAGGGUUUGAUGCAGGGGAGAGAAAGGAUAUAUGAAGACACAUUCUUCCCUCUUCUAUUCUCUUCCCUGGUUAGAAAUGGGCAUAUAGUCCUGUUUAUUAUGGGCAGGAUGGUAGGUAAAGACCACCUAAGUGCUUAUGGCGUGUUGGCUUUGGCACAUGGAGAAUGAGUUUUUGAUCUUGUUUUCUCGGCAUGUCUGUUUCAUGAGAUGAGCCUGUAGGAAGAGUUACUAGGCUCCCUGACUAUGCAGCCCGGAGUCUUGACCAACAGCAGGCUGUCAACAAUCCUAAAUAGCAUAUUAAGGACUCAAAAUGAAAUCUUGAAAAACAAAAACACAAUAUAUAUGUCACUGCAUGGACAUCCAUCACUUUUUCUGAGCCUGUAUUGCCUCUGCAAAACAUUAUAGCAGUUACUUAGUUAGAGGGAAGGAUUUUUUUCUAGCCUCCUGGUAACAGGCUCCGUUCAGAACCUUCUCGACAUCUUAUGUCAAUACUUCCUACAUCUACAAGCCCCAGAAAUCUCUAUGUUCUACUUGUUAAUGUCUAUUUAGAGCUGAGGCACAGCGUAGAAGGCUAACCAUAAGAAAAGUAAUUUUGCUUCUUCUAAUUUUCAAGGUCAUUAAAGGGAUGACCUUAAGAAACAAGUAAGCCAGAAGUAUAAGUUAUAUUCCAAAUCCAAAAAUCUGAAACCUAAAAUGCUGGUUCAAUGAGCAUUUUCUUUAAGUGUCAUGUCAGUACUCAAAAUGCUUUGAAUUUUGGAACAUUUUGGGUUUUUGCAUUAAGUAUGCUCAGCCUUUCACACUGAAAUGAAAACUGUGCUAAUGUAGAUUCUCUCUUUCUUAAUAUAUCUUACAAAUAUUAUGUGCAAAUGCAUCUUCUAAAAAGAAAAGCCUUUGUAUGUCCAAUUAUCUGUUUUUAAUACUACUUAAAAAUUCCAAAAAAAAUUCCAUACUUACUUCAGAAGCUACCUUUAAGAGUAAAAACUUAAAAAAAUUUUUUUUUAUUUUAGAUUUAGGGGGUAUAUGUGCAUUUCUUGUAUAUAUGUAUAUUGUGUAUUGGUGGGGACUGGGCUUCUAGUAUACCCAUUACCCAAACAGUGAACAUUGUACCCAGUAGGUUGUUCUUCACUCCUUGUUCUUUUCCCACCUUUCCCCCUUUUGGAGUCCCCAGUGUCUAUUAUUUCCAUCUUUAUGUCCGUGUAUACCUACUGUUUGGCUCCCACUUAUUAUGAGUGAGAAUGUGCAGUGUUUGAUUUUCUGUUUCUGAGUUAGUUCAUUAAGGAUAAUUGGCCUCCAGCUCCAAUCAUGUUGCUGCGAAGGACAUGACUUGAUUCUUUUUAUGCCUGCAUAGUAUUCCAUGGUGCAUAUGUACCACAUUUUCUUUAUCUAAUCAACUGUUGAUGGACAGUUAGGUUAGUUCCAUGACUUUGCUAUUAUAUAAUAAAUGGUGCUGUGAUGAACAUAUAAGUGUCUUUUUUAUAUAGUCAUUUAUUUUUCUUUAGGUAGAUACCUAGUAGUGGGAUUGCUGGGUAGAAUGUUAUUUUGACUUUUUAAUUAUUGUUAUUGUCACUAAGUAACAUACCCGUUGUUGAAUAGGCCAGGGUUUUGUAAUUGCAGAAAGAUCACAAGCUGUCAUCAGCAUUGCC